rnacentral:rRNA from 1 species
GACGAACGCUGGUGGCGUGCUUAACACAUGCAAGUCGAACGGGAUUUCGUAAACAGAAGCCUCGGUGGAAGAUUACUAAUGAGAGUGGCGAACGGGUGAGUAACGCGUGAGCAACCUGCCUAUGACAGUGGGAUAGCCUCGGGAAACCGGGAUUAAUACCGCAUAAAAUCGUAGAAACACAUGUUUUAACGGACAAAGAUUUAUCGGUCAUAGAUGGGCUCGCGUCUGAUUAGCUAGUUGGUGAGAUAACAGCCCACCAAGGCGACGAUCAGUAGCCGGUCUGAGAGGAUGAACGGCCACAUUGGAACUGAGACACGGUCCAAACUCCUACGGGAGGCAGCAGUGGGGAAUAUUGCACAAUGGGGGAAACCCUGAUGCAGCGACGCCGCGUGAACGAAGAAGGUAUUCGUAUCGUAAAGUUCUGUCCUAUGGGAAGAUAAUGACAGUACCAUAGAAGAAAGCUCCGGCUAAAUACGUG